AGUGAAAUGAAAUGAUAAGAAAAUGUAGGGACAAAAUGAUGUUUUCUAAAUUUUGAGAGGUGAAAUAAAAUGUUUAAUAAAAUUUAAGGUCCAAAGUUCAAUUUUCUCUCCAUUUUGUGUGUUAUCACCAGAAGCUUCGGUAGCCUUCCAUCCCGCCGAAGAAGAUCCCCAUCUGGUCCUCGCCGUCGCCGUUGUUCUCCGCAAGCAUGGGAUUCCCACCCUCCUGGCGGAGUUGGCCGAUCCCUUCGCCUUUGAUACAUAUCCCCAGCAGAUCCAUGGUCACCCCAUCGCCUAUCGCUUCCUCCCUGCUCGGCCUCACCAUCGCCGGCGGCGCCAGAUCUGGAUGCAUAGACAUUGAUUCAGCUUGGCUCAGGAUCUUCCAUCCAUUUUCUUCAAUCAUCCCUCCAUUGCUUGGCCCGAUAUGGUUUGACAUGACGUACGAAUCCAUGAGCGGUUGUCUCGGAUUGCCCGGAAGAGGAAUUUCCUGCACCAUCGCCGAACUGGAGAAGUAAUCCACGAGACUGGCGGGCGCCUUCCCCUUCCGCAUUGAGUAGUUCUCCACGUUGUUUAGGAAGAAGGAAGGCGCCGAUGAGUUGUUUGAGGAAAUGUUGCCGCUUGCCUGGUGGUAGAUCGAGAAGGCGCUUCUUCUUCGGUAGCCCAAUUGUUGCAGCGGAUAGUUGAGAGGAUUUGGCUUUACAGGCUCCGGUUUUUGAUUCGUCAUUAAAGUGAGGAAGCUCGGCGCGGUGGCUUGUGGCAAACUGUGCUCUUGCGGCGGAACCUCGAAGAAAUUUGCUGGCAUCUUCAUUACCGGGCCAGCGAAAUAUGUGGAAGAAGGAGUGCUCAGUGUCGCGCCCAUAAACGCUGCAUUCGGCGAAAGUGCUAUCGCCGUUGAGGAUUCUGGGAGUGCUGGAGCUUUGUAUGUCUCUGUGCAGUAGCUCCCCUUCCCUGCCCCCAGUAAGGAUGCUGAGAGUGAAAUAUUUUGGCCGUACAUCGCCGAUGGGAUUCCCAAUAAAUUAUUACUGAGUGUGGAAUUUGCCUGCAGAGAGGUCUCAUCCCCUGUUUCAUUGACACACAUGUUUAGAUUUUUCAUCCCAAAUCCUGGCGAUUCCUCUAUUGGAGCCAUGAAGGAAGACGAUGACCCUUCAAACAAAUCAACAGCGGAAGACUUCUCAUUCAAUCUCCUCUCUCCCAUCAAUCCGUCAAGCGACGAAGCCGGCGGCAGUAGCAUUGACUGACUGGUCCCAGACUGUGGCGACGUCACCGAACCACUAACCACGCGGCUGCCACAGAACUCGUCCAAGAUUUCAUACUGAGCCGUCAGCAGAUCAGUUAGGCACAUAGGAAUUUUCGUUAUGAAGUUAGGGUCAUCGGGCAGUGAGGCCAUGAUGCGGUUCAUGCGUUCGUGGGUUGCCGGAUCAUCCCGGUUGUAAUUAGCCAUGACUGGGAGACUUUCACUCAGUUGCUGCUCCACCAUAUUUGUCCCACUCUGUGGAACUUCUGCGUAAGUCGCUGCGUGCUCGUUCAUGUCAGGCAGCAUAAACCUGUUGUCAAAGGAAACACCUUUGGCAGCGGAGGAGCUCGACUCUCCGACUGUGGCUGAGGCCGGUAGCUUCAUACCCUCCUUCGAGAGUUUGCCACAGAACGCCCGGUGAACCUGGUAGCUGUUCCUGGCAGCAAAUGCCCGGCCACAGUCGCACUGGUGGCGGGGAAGGGAGUGGGUCUUGAUGUGGGCCUUGAGAUCUGCUUCGACCGCGUAGUGCUUGGUGCAGUGGGGGCAAUGCAGGUUCUUGGGACCGUGCUUGCGGUUGAAGUGUUUCUUGAUGCCGGUGAUGUCACUGAGAGCGCGGGAACGAUCGUGAUAGACACAGGUGGGGAUGGGGCAGACGUAGGCCUUGCGGCGUGCUGGCAUGCCGUUGGACUUCCUGAGUUCCCAGUUCAUGUUGUGGGUUCGCAUGUGGAGCAACAGAUUCUGAUCACGCUGAAAGCCCUUACCACACACGUAGCAGACAAACUGGCCGAUGGCCAGUAGAUCAUCAGGCUGCAGGGCCACCACCUCUGCAAGAGGAUCUGCUGCCUUUGCCUCUGCAGUGAUUAACGGAUGAAUAUAUGCAAAAUAGCAUUGCGUAUGGUUUUGGUUGGAUUGAACUUCUGGUAAAUCUUUAUAACUUUGUGAUUAAACCAUCAAUGCAAUGAUAAAAUAUUGAAAACCAAAUAUUUCCUUCCCAACUUGGUAUGAUAAUCAAGUUCUAGCCCUAAUCUAUCAUAGUCCUUUUAUGGGAGCAAUCAAACCAACAGAACUCACAGUUUGGUUCAAACUCAAAAAUUGAACUGAACCAAAUUGUAUUAUUUAUUCUUCUUCACCUCAUGCCCUUGUUGCUGCAAGCAAGCAUCCCCAGCUUAUGCAAUAAUUGUUACCAACCUUUUGUGUUCAUUGCUUUUAUUUGUCACAUCAGUCUGUUCAGACUGCUUCAUUUUACUUCAUCUCUCCUAUCUCUCAAGCUCAAGUGUCAUUAAGUAUUCCAUCGUUGCCUUUUUGAAUUGAAUAAUUUAAAUUGGAGAUUUGCCACUCCGUCUCUUUUAAUUAAUUCUUUCUCUUCUUGAUGCCUUGAAUUAGAUGUGAGAAUUUCAGUCUAUGAACGGCAAAUGCUUGUUAUUUUUAUCAAGUGUUUCAGUGGGAUUAGUAUUUUUAUUUUGUCUCCUCUGCAAACAGAGAUGGUAAAUUCAAUAAUAACCUAAAUUGGAUAUUUCUUCUCCAACUAUUGCAACAUAGCAUGCAUAGCUGAUUAUAUACCCCUCAGUGAAUGUUAACUUAAAAUAGAUUAACAGCCAUAACCAGAAUCAGAAGUCACAAUUUCGCCUGAAAUAGAUUCCAGGGCAAUUUUCUGCUGUGGCAUUCUUUUGUUUGUAUUCUGUCAAUGGAUAAGCAAACUUGUUUUUAGAACAGAUGAAACUGCCUUUUGUGUUUAUUUUCUUUGUAGAUGACAUAAACUUUAAAAAAAUGUGGUCAUGACUCUAGUUUCAAUUAAAUUUUAGAAUGUUUAUCUCAUAUCAAUUAAAUCAAUAUUCUUGUGUCCUUGUUCUUCUUACUAUAAUUUAAAAUAAAUUUUGUAUUUUCAAGAACUAUGCCUACUAGUUUAUCCAUUUUUUGGAUUUUAUCUCGUCUCAAUCAAAAUCAAGGUUCUUGGGUCCUUGUUCUUUUUAUGAUAAUUUAAAACUUAUUUUGUGCUUUCAAGAACUCUGCAUGCUAUUUUCUGAUUUUUUGUUCUUCAUCUAACAGUUCCUGGAAGUCCUUUGUUUUCUCUUUUCUUUGGUUUACUUCUUCCAACAACAUUUCAGUUCCCAAUAUAUUCCUUACGCUUCAUUUUGUUGAUUGUUUUAUAAUGCAUUUUAUUAUUCCGUUUUCCAUUUUCCAUUUUACCUAGCUUACUCAUUCCACAAUAAUCUUUGCUACCAAUAUCUUUCUGGCCAACAUUUCAUUGGGGAUAGUUUUAGUCCGAGAGUUUCACGACUCGCUGCUGGUGAUAUAACACUGGUUCUACAACAAAGCUAGUGAAGCUCGUAAGUAAAUGGAUGUUUGAUCCACCGAUGAAUCUUUGCUGAAACAAUUUGAAGAAGCCAGCGAUACUUGUAAAUGACCAAAUCCUGCUCUAGGUUUGUUACCUUAGAUGGAUUAAGAGAAGACCCUCAGCUUUGGAAACAAAAGGGCAUUGAAUCCAUGGUUGGAGGAUGGAAAAGGAAAAUUUCAUGAAGAUGCUUGCCAUAUCUUUUACUAUGAUUUCUUUUCUAGGUGGUAAUAUAUAGUACACUGUAUUGAAUUUUAUUACAAAAGCCACAAGUCUGAUAACUUCAAAGAACUGAAGAAAUAGUUGAAUCUCAGAAAGCAGAAGCAAUGCCCCCGAGCUAAUUAAUUCCUACCUUGUUGCAUCAGAACAGAAUUGGAAUCACUAAAGCGUUGCAUUCUAGAAAGAGACCCAUUUAUAUUUUAUAUUUAUAAAGGCAAUACUUUCAUCAA